GGCAUUAAAACCCAUGUGAAUAGCAAUUUUAAUCUGUGCUAAACCCAACUAAUGUUAGUGCAUUUAAAUGGAUUUCCAACAAGUCAUUAUCAUGCAAAUGUUCCCUCAAUAUCUAUUUCUUGGUUAUCUCAUAGUAAUUUCUGCAGGCUAGGUGUUUAUUGCAGAAUAUAAAAUUGAUAUUAGACCUCUAGUCAAUGAAUUAUAGUACAAAUAAAUAUUGUUAAAUUAUGAUCAUAGUAUUGACACAGACCUUAUUAAUGAAGUUAAUUAUUUCUGUAAUGGCUUUUCUGCUCUUCCUGAGAGCUGCAUUUGUUUUUUUAAGGGUCCAAUAUAAUAGAUAUACAUUUUUAAUGAAAUUAAAUGGGAGAGGCUCCGUGAUUCUCCUUUACAUUGGCAGUUGUAAUAAUAUAGUGACAUAUUUUCUUGAAUUAAAAUAUAGAGCAAAUCCAGUGGCUGGUAAAAUAUCUAUCUGUAUGCUUUAGAUCUGAAGCUUUGUUGAGUGUUGCCUACUUGAUGUUACUUUGGUACGUGAUCUCCUUAAUACCAUUUAUACAUGUGCGUAAAAACCAACAUAAUUCAUAGGCAUGUGCAUGGGAAAAUGUUUCGGUUCGGUUCGGCAUUCCAAAAUUCGUGACUUCGGCAAUUCGGCACUUCAGAACUUCGGCACUUCGGAACUUCGGUAACUUCGGCAAUUCGGCACUUCGACACUUCAGCAACUUCGGCAAUUCUGCACUUUGACACUUCAGAACUUCAGCAACUUCGGCACUUCGACACUUCAGAACUUCGGCACUUCGGAACUUCGCCACUUCGGAAUUUCGGUAACUUCGGCACUUUGGCACUUCGACACUUCAGAACUUCGGCACCUCAACACUUCGGAACUUCGGCAACUUCGGAAUUUCGGAAGUUGUCUUGCAGCCACUUGGUAGAUAACUCCCUAAUUCCCACAGUAUUAGGGAGUUAUCUACCAAAAGGCUGAAAGACCUAAAUUGCUCUUUCAGCCACAUUUACUAAUACUAAGUAAAAAUGACUUAGUAUUAGUAAAUUUUGCCCCUACUCGCUAUACCGUGAGUAGGGGCAUGUCUAUUAAACAGUGAGCAGCCGGCAGGUGGGGGCCCUAAAGUAAAAUAAAGGGGGGACCUAUUGUCCUAAAUACUAAUUAGGGGGGGUACCUAAUGUCCUUCCCCCUGGCCCCCACCCCUGAGCAGUGGGUGGGGACUCUAAAUACUAAUUGGGGGGGACCUAAUGUCCUCCCCUCGGGCCCACACCCCUGAGCGGUGGGUGGGGCCCUAAAUACUAAUUGGGAGGGACCUAAUGUCCUCAUUCCUGGGCCCCACCCCUGAGCGUCGGGUGGG